GGUUGAGUGGUUCAGUGGUAGAACUUAGGUCUUGUAACCAUGAGGUAUCAGGUUCGAAUCUCACCAGACAG
rnacentral:tRNA from 1 species